AUGUAAUCUUCCUUCUAAUAGCGCAACUCCUCCCACUCAUUCAUAAUCCGACCUCCGCGUUUGCACUCGUCCUACAAGAGCUCCCAAAUUUGAACAUCACUGAUGUUCAUCGGAUUUACAGAGUGACGACAAACCCCGUCAGCAUGUUAGAUAAAGGAUUUAAGUUAUAUGCUGCAUCAUAUAUACACAACUACGAAGUGUCCAAAAAACACAGGUUGACAGGGAGGUCGGUGUGAGAGCCCUGUGCUACAGGUCAAUGAGGAAGAGUGAGGCACCACACAGACUAAGUGUAGGCAGGAAGCUGUGUAAAGUUGUUAAUCCCUGUUCAGUGGGGUUCAGUUCAUUUAAGCAUUAGUUAAGUUCAUUCCUGAAGGCCCAUCAACUUGAAUGUUUUCCUUGUCCCCCUGCUUUAUCACACCUAAUUUGACUAGUCAGAUGUGUUUGGGUGAUCAGAAACAAAUUUACACCAAGUUAAUACUGCAAAUAUACACAAUCUAAGUUAUUACAGUUAUCAAGGAUGGUUAAAUUGUUUUAAUAGGGAGAGAAGGAAACACUAAGCAUUCAGGAGGGUAAGCCUGUAGGGGUCAGUAACCAUAACACUGAACUAUGUUCCUGUUUGGCUCUUCC
ensembl:lncRNA